UGACUCUGCUGCGCUGUGCCCCAGAGUGUGACAGAGCUGCUGCCAUGAUGUGGAAGAGCAUUGCCUCCUCGAGAACAGCAGUGGAGAAGGUGCUGCCAACACUGCUGCGAGUGAUGGAGGAUUGGCCAGCACACAGCAUGUCCACAUCAGAUGGUGAUGACAGAGAAGUGUUUGCUCUGGCUGCAAGCCUGGCACUGUGGCUGAUCCUGCAGGAGCCCAAGUGCCAGGAUGCAGUGAUGGAUUAUGUCCCCCACCUGCUC